GGACUUGGGGACUAGGCAAGAGCUGGCCACCCUGCAAGGGUAGGGCAACACAUCAGAGAGGAGGUGCGAAAGCUCCAGGUAGAAGGAAGUCUCCACAGCUUCUCACAGGUUAAAGAAAAGGCACCUGGCUACUGGUGUUACAGCCUCUACUACAGAGCUGAGGCUGAUGCGUGGGAGGCUGUGCAGAACAAGGUAGGGGCCUGAAACUGUGCAUGGUUCGAGUCUUUGGCCCACAUCAUGUCCCAGGAUCCCCUGCUGGGUUUCUGCUUCUUGGCACAGCCUGGCCACACAUUUUGCUGAGUGUGACUCCUGAGCCCAAGAAGAGCUUUCACAGAUCCUCCUGUACCCAUGGUAUGAGCCAAAUGUCGGCUCUAGCUGCAAUCCCAACAGUUCAGUCAGUCUCCUAGGUUGCAAUGGGGUGGAUCCUGACUCAGCUGAGCUGCAUCACCAGACAGAAGGCCCUGAGGCUCAACUAACAGCAUGGGGGACCUGGAACCACCUGGUUCCACUCUGCGGAUGUGUUUAGGGACCCCGAUUUUCUGUUUGAAUAAAUUUCUUUUUAAAAAAAUAAAGUUUUUAGGUGAAAAAAAGCUUA